CGUUGAUUACGUCCCUGCCCUUUGUACACACCGCCCGUCGCUACUACCGAUUGAAUGGCUCAGUGAGGCUUUCGCACUGGCCCAGGAAGAGUGGCAACACUCAUCUAGGGCCGGAAAGUUGUGCAAACUUGGUCAUUUAGAGGAAGUAAAAGUCGUAACAAGG
rnacentral:rRNA from 1 species